AACGAACGCUGGCGGCAGGCCUAACACAUGCAAGUCGAGCGAGGACUUCGGUCCUAGCGGCGGACGGGUGAGUAACGCGUGGGAACGUGCCCUUUGCUUCGGAAUAGCCCUGGGAAACUGGGAGUAAUACCGGAUGAGCCCUUUGGGGGAAAGAUUUAUCGGCGAAGGAUCGGCCCGCGUUGGAUUAGGUAGUUGGUGGGGUAAUGGCCUACCAAGCCGACGAUCCAUAGCUGGUUUGAGAGGAUGAUCAGCCACACUGGGACUGAGACACGGCCCAGACUCCUACGGGAGGCAGCAGUGGGGAAUCUUAGACAAUGGGGGAAACCCUGAUCUAGCCAUGCCGCGUGAGCGAUGAAGGCCUUAGGGUUGUAAAGCUCUUUCAGCUGGGAAGAUAAUGACGGUACCAGAAGAAGAAGCCCCGGCUAACUCCGUG
rnacentral:rRNA from 1 species